GAUGCUUUUGGAUGAGAGGCGCAGAGCACUUGGGCUAAAGGUAGGUGUGAGAAGACCUCCUCAUACGGCGAUCCUGGAACAGGUAAUUUGCAGCCAGAUUGUGUCAUGAUCUUAUAUGCUAUAUGCCAUUAAUGAUGUCUUCAAUUCACAUUUCACAAAUUCAAGAAAAAGGAGCAAAUAAAUUCUUCUCACUUUUCAUGGUUUUUGGGGCCAUAUUUAUUUUUUCAGAUAAUCUAUCCCUUUUGGUUCUGUUCUUCCGUGUUUCAAUGUAAAUCAUAUUUAUCAAUAUUCCUUGUUGUACCUCCAUUGAUUGUAACUGCUCUUUAUCUCUGCAAUUGGUUCUACUUGUACUUUCUAAUAUCUGUUGCUAGCUACCUUUCUGUAUGUUAUGCUUCAAGGAAGACUUGGUCUCAUUCCAUGACGUUUUUCUCAUGACAAAACAAUACUUGUGUGGCCUCAUUUAGUGUUUAAAUACGUGGAUAUGUUUCUUUCUUCUCUAAACCUUGAGCAGUUUAUUUUUCAAUGGUGGGAUCUCAGUUUUUUUGUUGA
rnacentral:misc_RNA from 1 species